rnacentral:rRNA from 1 species
UAAUACAUGCAAGUCGAACGCCUGUAGCAAUACAGGAGUGGCGCACGGGUGAGUAACACGUGGGUAUCUACCUAGCUGUACGGAACAACCGCGGGAAACUGCGGCUAAUACCGUAUACGCCCUUCGGGGGAAAGAUUUAUCGCAGCUAGAUGAGCCCGCGUCCGAUUAGCUAGUUGGUGAGGUAAUGGCUCACCAAGGCUCCGAUCGGUAGCUGGUCUGAGAGGAUGACCAGCCACACUGGGACUGAGACACGGCCCAGACUCC